ACACAUGCAGUCGAGCGGUAGAGAGGUGCUUGCACCUCUUGAGAGCGGCGGACGGGUGAGUAAUACCUAGGAAUCUGCCUGGUAGUGGGGGAUAACGUUCGGAAACGGACGCUAAUACCGCAUACGUCCUACGGGAGAAAGCAGGGGACCUUCGGGCCUUGCGCUAUCAGAUGAGCCUAGGUCGGAUUAGCUAGUUGGUGAGGUAAUGGCUCACCAAGGCUACGAUCCGUAACUGGUCUGAGAGGAUGAUCAGUCACACUGGAACUGAGACACGGUCCAGACUCCUACGGGAGGCAGCAGUGGGGAAUAUUGGACAAUGGGCGAAAGCCUGAUCCAGCCAUGCCGCGUGUGUGAAGAAGGUCUUCGGAUUGUAAAGCACUUUAAGUUGGGAGGAGGGGCAUUAACCUAAUACGUUAGUGCUUUGACGUUACCGACAGAAUAAGCACCGGCUAACUCUGUGCCAGCAGCCGCGGUAAUACAGAGGGUGCAAGCGUUAAUCGGAAUUACUGGGCGUAAAGCGCGCGUAGGUGGUUUGUUAAGUUGAAUGUGAAAUCCCCGGGCUCAACCUGGGAACUGCAUCCAAAACUGGCAAGCUAGA
rnacentral:rRNA from 1 species